ACUGGAGAGCUCAGCUUCUUAACAUGCUUUGUGAAUACUGCUGGCUCGUUUGUGAGAGUAUUUACCAGCAUCCAGGAAAAAGCACCACCAAGUGUUGUUGCGGGUUCGGUUCUUGGUAUCUUGACAAAUGGCACAAUCCUGACUCGAAUUUUUAUAUAUCUAAAACCACAAGUCGAGAAGGAGAAGAAAGCAGAGUAAAUCGAUACCAUGUCCCAAGUAGACUAUGAUUCAGUGGAAGGUUUAGAUUGGUGUAUCGGUGAGCUAAUUAGCCCUCCAUUGUGUGAUCAUUGGAUGUAUCAUCAAGCAUUCAAUAGCCGUCAGUUUAUAGUCGACAAUACACUGAAUUUGAACUUCUUGAGGAUGAUUCAGUUUAGAUACUUUUGGUAAAUGGAUUAUUCAACUUUCAUCUGC